GACGAACGCUGGCGGCGUGCCUAAUACAUGCAAGUAGAACGCACAGUUUAUACCGUAGCUUGCUCCACCAUAGACUGUGAGUUGCGAACGGGUGAGUAACGCGUAGGUAACCUGCCUGGUAGCGGGGGAUAACUAUUGGAAACGAUAGCUAAUACCGCAUAAUAUUAAUUAUUGCAUGAUAAUUAAUUGAAAGGUGCAAUUGCACCACUACCAGAUGGACCUGCGUUGUAUUAGCUAGUAGGUGAGGUAACGGCUCACCUAGGCGACGAUACAUAGCCGACCUGAGAGGGUGAUCGGCCACACUGGGACUGAGACACGGCCCAGACUCCUACGGGAGGCAGCAGUAGGGAAUCUUCGGCAAUGGACGAAAGUCUGACCGAGCAACGCCGCGUGAGUGAAGAAGGUUUUCGGAUCGUAAAGCUCUGUUGUAAGAGAAGAACGGGUGUGAGAGUGGAAAGUUCACACUGUGACGGUAGCUUACCAGAAAGGGACGGCUAACUACGUG
rnacentral:rRNA from 1 species